rnacentral:rRNA from 1 species
UACGAAGGGUGCAAGCGUUACUCGGAAUUACUGGGCGUAAAGCGUGCGUAGGUGGUGAGUUAAGUCUGUCGUGAAAGCCCCGGGCUCAACCUGGGAAUGGCGAUGGAUACUGGCUCGCUAGAGUGCGGUAGAGGAGAGUGGAAUUCCCGGUGUAGCAGUGAAAUGCGCAGAUAUCAGGAGGAACACCUACGGCGAAGGCAGCUCGCUGGGACGGUACUGACGCUGAGACGCGAAAGCGUGGGGAGCAAACAGG